AGUGAACGCUGGCGGCAGGCCUAACACAUGCAAGUCGAACGGCAGCACAGCAGUAGCAAUACUGUGGGUGGCGAGUGGCGGACGGGUGAGGAAUGCAUCGGAAUCUGCCUAUUUGUGGGGGAUAACGUAGGGAAACUUACGCUAAUACCGCAUACGACCUACGGGUGAAAGUGGGGGACCGCAAGGCCUCACGCAGAUAGAUGAGCCGAUGCCGGAUUAGCUAGUUGGCGGGGUAAAGGCCCACCAAGGCGACGAUCCGUAGCUGGUCUGAGAGGAUGAUCAGCCACACUGGAACUGAGACACGGUCCAGACUCCUACGGGAGGCAGCAGUGGGGAAUAUUGGACAAUGGGCGCAAGCCUGAUCCAGCCAUGCCGCGUGAGUGAAGAAGGCCUUCGGGUUGUAAAGCUCUUUUGUCCGGAAAGAAAAGCUUCGGGUUAAUAACCCGGGGUCAUGACGGUACCGGAAGAAUAAGCACCGGCUAACUUCGUGCCAGCCGCCGCCGUAAGAC
rnacentral:rRNA from 1 species